AAAACAGUUUCAGAUUUUUUUUCUGUUUUUCUAAAAUUUAUUUCCUUUCUUUCUUUUGCAUUAACACAGAGCAACAGAGAGAACCGGAGAUAACGAGGAUAAAUUUUUUGAGGUAUUUUCGCUUCAAAUUAUUGAAAGUUUGUUAGAGGAAAAGGGGAAUUAGGGGUUAUUCAUAGAAGAAAUAGUCUGGAAUUUUUGGAAAGAUUUCUGCAUCGCCGAAGGAUGAAAACAAGAGUAUAUUGAGAAGGAAUGAAAGAAGAACAUCUAGCGGGAAUAAUCUCGGUCAAAUCUUUUUCGAUUUGAACCAUAAAAUUUUCAUUCUAGGCGGGAUGAAAUCAAAAGAAAGUCCUUUGGGCGCGAUUAUUCCCGCUUGUUGUUUUUGAGUAUCUAUAAAUUGAACCCUAAAAUCACCUUUUCUGGGUGAUUAUCAGUUCCGAGGUCAAAAACAUCAAGAUUCACACAGUUCUUCGGAUUGAUUUGAGUUUUUCACUCUCCAGAGACUCAUUCAGGGUUCUUUAAUUUCUGAAGAUGGAAUUUGAGGAAGACAGGUACGCAGGGAACGGGAACAGACGUAUGGGAUUGGAUACCUAGGCCGCUUGAGAGUUGAUUUAACAUGGACUAGGCCAAGUUUGAAUUAUUAGGUUAUUUUCUUUAGUUUUGAUUGUGUAAUUUUUUUGUUUCCUUAUGGUUAAGUGGGAUUCUCUAUGCCUUGUGACAAUUACUUUUAUUUAAUGGAACUUAAAUUCUUCAAUUGGAUUCACUUUUUGGUAUCUUUUUA